rnacentral:rRNA from 1 species
CCUACGGGUGGCAGCAGUGAGGAAUAUUGGUCAAUGGACGAGAGUCUGAACCAGCCAAGUAGCGUGAAGGAUGACUGCCCUAUGGGUUGUAAACUUCUUUUUUAUGGGAAUAAAAUGUUCCACGUGUGGGAUUUUGUAUGUACAAUAUGCAUAAGGAUCGGCGAACUCCGUGCCAGCAGCCGCGGUAAUAUGGUGGAUCCGAGCGUUAUCCGGAUGUAUUGGGGUUAAAGGGAGCGUAGGUGGAUGGUUAAGUCAGUUGUUAAAGUUUGCGGCUCAACCGUACACUUGCAGUUGAAACUGGCAGUCUUGAGUACAGUAGAGGUGGGCGGAAGGCGUGGUGUAGCGGUGAAAUGCUUAGAGAUCACGAAGAACUCCGAUUGCGAAGGCAGCUCACUGGACUGCAACUGACACUGAGGCUCGAAAGUGUGGGUAUCAAACAGGAUUAGAUACCCGGGUAGUC